rnacentral:rRNA from 1 species
GACAGAGGAUGCAAGCGUCUCGAUCGGAUUGGAUGCGUAAAGCGUCUGUAGGUGGCUUUUUAAGUCCGCCGUCAAAUCCCAGCGUCAACCCCUGGACAGGCGGGUGGAAACUACCAAGCUGGAGUACGGUAGGGGCAGGAGGGAAUUUCCGGUGGAGCGGUGAAAUGCGUAGAGAUCGGAAAGAACACCAACGGCGAAAGCACUCUGCUGGGCCGACACUGACACUGAGAGACGAAAGCUAGGGGAGCGAAUGGG